rnacentral:rRNA from 1 species
AUGCGCAUAGUAAAGCCCCAAUCUAUUCCACCUGUAUCCCGUGGUGGAAGUGCUGAAUCUCCGGAUUCUGUACAUAACAAUUUUGAAGAUGCGCCCAGUACUUGCGGUUCUUUUCGGGAGCGUGGUCAGACAUCUAAGGCGGACUCUGGAAAUUAUGCAGCCAGUCCUACAAGAGGUGACCAGGAAGCACCGGUACAGUCACGUACUGGUUGGUUCCCCUCAAUUGAAGCACAAAAGACUGAAGCAAACCCAGAUAUUCGUCAGCAGCGCAUUCCUGAAACUGUGAGUCAGGAUGCUGAAGGUUAG